rnacentral:rRNA from 1 species
UACGGGGGGGGCAAGCGUUGUUCGGAAUUACUGGGCGUAAAGGGCUCGUAGGCGGCCAACUAAGUCGGGUGUGAAAUCUCGGAGCUUAACUCCGAAACUGCAUUCGAUACUGCCGUGCUUGAGGACUGGAGAGGAGACUGGAAUUUACGGUGUAGCGGUGAAAUGCGUAGAUAUCGUAAGGAAGACCAGUGGCGAAGGCGGGUCUCUGGACAGUUCCUGACGCUGAGGCACGAAGGUCAGGGGAGCAAACGGG